GAUGAACGCUGGCGGCGUGCCUAAUACAUGCAAGUCGAGCGAAUGGAUUAAGAGCUUGCUCUUAUGAAGUUAGCGGCGGACGGGUGAGUAACAAGUGGGUAACCUGCCCAUAAGACUGGGAUAACUCCAGGAAACAGGGGCUAAUACCGGAUAACAUUUUGAACCGCAUGGUUCGAAAUUGAAAGGCGGCUUCCGCUGUCACUUAUGGCUGGACCCGCGUGGCAUUAGCUAGUUGGUGAGGUAACGGCUAAGCAAGGCAACGAUGCGUAGCCGACCUGAGAGGGUGAUCGGCCACACUGGGACUGAGACACGGCCCAGACUCCUACGGGAGGCGGCAGUAGGGAAUCUUCCGCAAUGGACGAAAGUCUGACGGAGCAACGCCGCGUGAGUGAUGAAGGCUUUCGGGUCGUAAAACUCUGUUGUUAGGGAAGAACAAGUGCUAGUUGAAUAAGCUGGCACCUUGACGGUACCUAACCAGAAAGCCACGGCUAACUACGUGCCAGCCGCCGCGGUAA
rnacentral:rRNA from 1 species